CCUACGGGCGGCUGCAGUGGGGAAUAUUGGACAAUGGGGGCAACCCUGAUCCAGCCAUGCCGCGUGUGUGAAGAAGGCCCUCGGGUUGUAAAGCACUUUCAGUGAGGAAGAACGCCUGGUGGUUAAUACCCAUCAGGAAAGACAUCACUCACAGAAGAAGCACCGGCUAACUCCGUGCCAGCAGCCGCGGUAAUACGGAGGGUGCGAGCGUUAAUCGGAAUUACUGGGCGUAAAGCGCGCGUAGGUGGCUUGAUAAGCCGGUUGUGAAAGCCCCGGGCUCAACCUGGGAACGGCAUCCGGAACUGUCAAGCUAGAGUGCAGGAGAGGAAGGUAGAAUUCCCGGUGUAGCGGUGAAAUGCGUAGAGAUCGGGAGGAAUACCAGUGGCGAAGGCGGCCUUCUGGACUGACACUGACACUGAGGUGCGACAGCGUGGGUAGCAAACAGGAUUAGAUACCCGUGUAGUC
rnacentral:rRNA from 1 species